rnacentral:rRNA from 1 species
GACGAACGCUGGCGGCGUGCUUAACACAUGCAAGUCGAACGGAAAGGCCCUGCUUUUGUGGGGUGCUCGAGUGGCGAACGGGUGAGUAACACGUGAGUAACCUGCCCUUGACUUUGGGAUAACUUCAGGAAACUGGGGCUAAUACCGGAUAGGAGCUCCUGCUGCAUGGUGGGGGUUGGAAAGUUUCGGCGGUUGGGGAUGGACUCGCGGCUUAUCAGCUUGUUGGUGGGGUAGUGGCUUACCAAGGCUUUGACGAGUAGCCGGCCUGAGAGGGUGACCGGCCACAUUGGGACUGAGAUACGGCCCAGACUCCUACGGGAGGCAGCAGUGGGGAAUAUUACACAAUGGGCGGAAGCCUGAUGCAGCAACGCCGCGUGCGGGAUGACGGCCUUCGGGUUGUAAACCGCUUUCGCCUGUGACGAAGCGUGAGUGACGGUAAUGGGUAAAGAAGCACCGGCUAACUACGUG